UGACUGCGUACCUUUUGUAUAAUGGGUCAGCGACUUAUAUUCUGUAGCAAGGUUAACCGAAUAGGGGAGCCGAAGGGAAACCGAGUCUUAACUGGGCGUUAAGUUGCAGGGUAUAGACCCGAAACCCGGUGAUCUAGCCAUGGGCAGGUUGAAGGUUGGGUAACACUAACUGGAGGACCGAACCGACUAAUGUUGAAAAAUUAGCGGAUGACUUGUGGCUGGGGGUGAAAGGCCAAUCAAACCGGGAGAUAGCUGGUUCUCCCCGAAAGCUAUUUAGGUAGCGCCUCGUGAAUUCAUCUCCGGGGGUAGAGCACUGUUUCGGCAAGGGGGUCAUCCCGACUUACCAACCCGAUGCAAACUGCGAAUACCGGAGAAUGUUAUCACGGGAGACACACGGCGGGUGCUAACGUCCGUCGUGAAGAGGGAAACAACCCAGACCGCCAGCUAAGGUCCCAAAGUCAUGGUUAAGUGGGAAACGAUGUGGGAAGGCCCAGACAGCCAGGAUGUUGGCUUAGAAGCAGCCAUCAUUUAAAGAAAGCGUAAUAGCUCACUGGUCGAGUCGGCCUGCGCGGAAGAUGUAACGGGGCUAAACCAUGCACCGAAGCUGCGGCAGCGACGCUUAUGCGUUGUUGGGUAGGGGAGCGUUCUGUAAGCCUGUGAAGGUGUGCUGUGAGGCAUGCUGGAGGUAUCAGAAGUGCGAAUGCUGACAUAAGUAACGAUAAAGCGGGUGAAAAGCCCGCUCGCCGGAAGACCAAGGGUUCCUGUCCAACGUUAAUCGGGGCAGGGUGAGUCGACCCCUAAGGCGAGGCCGAAAGGCGUAGUCGAUGGGAAACAGGUUAAUAUUCCUGUACUUGGUGUUACUGCGAAGGGGGGACGGAGAAGGCUAUGUUGGCCGGGCGACGGUUGUCCCGGUUUAAGCGUGUAGGCUGGUUUUCCAGGCAAAUCCGGAAAAUCAAGGCUGAGGCGUGAUGACGAGGCACUACGGUGCUGAAGCAACAAAUGCCCUGCUUCCAGGAAAAGCCUCUAAGCAUCAGGUAACAUCAAAUCGUACCCCAAACCGACACAGGUGGUCAGGUAGAGAAUACCAAGGCGCUUGAGAGAACUCGGGUGAAGGAACUAGGCAAAAUGGUGCCGUAACUUCGGGAGAAGGCACGCUGAUAUGUAGGUGAAGUCCCUUGCGGAUGGAGCUGAAAUCAGUCGAAGAUACCAGCUGGCUGCAACUGUUUAUUAAAAACACAGCACUGUGCAAACACGAAAGUGGACGUAUACGGUGUGACGCCUGCCCGGUGCCGGAAGGUUAAUUGAUGGGGUCAGCGCAAGCGAAGCUCUUGAUCGAAGCCCCGGUAAACGGCGGCCGUAACUAUAACGGUCCUAAGGUAGCGAAAUUCCUUGUCGGGUAAGUUCCGACCUGCACGAAUGGCGUAAUGAUGGCCAGGCUGUCUCCACCCGAGACUCAGUGAAAUUGAACUCGCUGUGAAGAUGCAGUGUACCCGCGGCAAGACGGAAAGACCCCGUGAACCUUUACUAUAGCUUGACACUGAACAUUGAGCCUUGAUGUGUAGGAUAGGUGGGAGGCUUUGAAGUGUGGACGCCAGUCUGCAUGGAGCCGACCUUGAAAUACCACCCUU
rnacentral:rRNA from 1 species